UACGUAGGGUGCGAGCGUUAAUCGGAAUUACUGGGCGUAAAGCGUGCGCAGGCGGUUUUGUAAGGCAGAUGUGAAAUCCCCGGGCUCAACCUGGGAAUGGCAUUUGGGACUGCAAGGCUGGAGUACGGCAGAGGAGACUGGAAUUCCUGGUGUAGCAGUGAAAUGCGUAGAUAUCAGGAGGAAUACCGAUGGCGAAGGCAGGUCUCUGGGCUGAUACUGACGCUCAUGCACGAAAGCGUGGGGAGCAAACAGG
rnacentral:rRNA from 1 species